UACGGGGGGGGCAAGCGUUGUUCGGAAUUACUGGGCGUAAAGGGCUCGUAGGCGGCCAACUAAGUCGGAUGUGAAAUCCCCAGGCUCAACCUGGGAACUGCAUCUGAUACUGGAUGGCUUGAAUUCGGGAGAGGGAUGCAGAAUUCCAGGUGUAGCGGUGAAAUGCGUAGAUAUCUGGAGGAAUACCGGUGGCGAAGGCGGCAUCCUGGACCGACAUUGACGCUGAUGAGCGAAAGCUAGGGGAGCAAACGGG
rnacentral:rRNA from 1 species